GGGUGUAAGGUUUACUGCUGUUCGCUACAGAAAGUACUAUGUGGCGGAGAUUCACGUCCUCGUGAGGUAGGCCCCAUGCACGUGUGCAGUUCUUAAUCACACUACGUCAUGCAGUAUGUGGAUAACUGAAAGUGGGUACCCUUUUGAAUGUAGUUGUGAACUAAAGUAGAAGUAAAACCGAUUUAGACCUAACACUAACCGAUAAGAAGUAUAAAUGGAUGUUGUUAGUUGAUGGGACAAUAGACAGUUGGACAAUAAAAGGGUCGCUUGAGGGUGGUGCCAUCUGCUUAGUGUUAUUAAACAUCGCAUCUGGUAAACUGACGUUUCCCGUUGUCGGUUUGUGACGUUUAUAUUGGUGGCGUUCUCUCCUUUUGUCGAAUACAGGCGCCUGUUAGGAUAGAGGAUUACAGUGUGCAGUGAAUCAGAACGCUUCUUCAGGGUAAUUACGUCAACUGUGAGAUUAACCGUCAGAGUUCUUUCUCCUCCUAAGGGAGGAGCUGUGGGGUCAGCAUCAUCAUGUGGCAGCAGGACACUGAAGUCAAUUGGCAGGAAAGAUGCCAUGAACUUGAAAGGUCGUUACAGCAUUUUCGUGAACAGGCGACAAGGAUACGAGGACUACUUAAAGAAAAGAUAAAUCCCGAAGAAGACGUAGAGGACGUUGUACAUGUAGAAUGUAUUUGAAAGUGGAAGCCGGCUUC